rnacentral:rRNA from 1 species
GUUUACCAAAAACAUGGCUUCUUGUCCCAAAAUAAAUAAGGAGUCGGACCUGCCCAGUGAAUUAUUUUUAACGGCCGCGGUACUCUGACCGUGCAAAGGUAGCAUAAUCAUUUGCCUUAUAAUUAAAGGCUAGUAUGAAUGGUUUGACAAGAAUAUAGCUGUCUCUUUAUAAUUUCAUAGAAUUUUAUUUUAAGGUGGAGAAGCUUUAAUUUAAUUAAAAGACAAGAAGACCCUAUCGAGCUUGAAAGAAAUUUUUAGAAAUCAAUUAAUAAAAGAUCUUAAAAAAUUAGCUAAAAAACAUUUUAGUUGGGGCGACUAAGGAACAAACAAAGCUUCCUUUCAGAAGAAUUACAUUCAAGUGUUGAUCCAAAAUGUUUGAUCAAAGGAAUUAGUUACCGUAGGGAUAACAGCAUUAUCUUUUUUAAGAGUUCUUAUCGAAAAAAAGGUUUGUGACCUCGAUGUUGGACCAGAAUAUCCUAAAGAUGCAGAAGUCUUUAAGGGUUGGUCUGUUCGACCAUUAAAAUUCUACGUGAUCUGAGUUCAGACCGG